ACUUGAGCUUAUUCGACGCCUGAGAUCGGGAAAGGCAUUUCAUAAUUAGGCAUGACGACAGAAGGAGUUACUGACAACUACUGUUCUACAGUGAGGUACUAUGCCAAGUGCUUGAUGUGUAUUACCUCAGAAAAUCCAUCCACAGGACAUCUCUAUGAGGAUUAGACCCUAUUCUCCAUAUCCUCUGCUGCUCAUUGAGGUCCUGCUUCAAACCAAACAGACACUCUGGAUCCAUCU